AUUCUCUUAAGAUGACACUUUAAAUUGUUAAAUCUGUAAGCAAGAAAUUUAUUCUAGUGGUAGGAGUACUCAAAGACAUUUCUGUUGUGUUAUGUGUCCACAGACAACAGAAGUGUAUCUGACUAGAAAGAAAACACUGAGCUUGGCUUUAAAGCUAUAUUAAACUUUCAUGAAGCUCACUGCUGACUGAACUAUGCUUGGUAUAUUGUGGUGCUGCCUGCAGUCUUUUCUGCUGCACAGCAAGAACAGCAUCAGAAGGGGUAGCUGUAUAGUUGGUCUUUGACGUGAGCUGUGCACAUUAUGAAAGCAUCAGCUGUCAGUACUUUCUUUUUGGUAAAUUAAGCAUAGCUUUGUGAGGCAGCAAGUGUUCCAUCUGUGAGACAGGCAUGUGAUACUGAACCAAGAGUGAGCCUGCUCCUUUAGAUGGUUAACAUUUUAGUCCUUUUACGGUAAGGUGCUUUCAUUCAUGGCACAAUUUUUAACUGCAGCUGUAACUAGUAAUUGGUACAACCCAUGUCCUUAGAGUUGCUGGGAUUUAUUCCAGCUGGAAUUUAAAUAUACCCCAACGUGCACACAAUGUGCUCUUGUCUGAUUUUGAAAGUACUUAGCAUACUGUGGCAGCAGGGCAUAAGGACUCCUGAGAGAAGUGGACUAUGUCUGCAAUAGUAGGCUGUUGCCAAUCCUGUGUUUUGCUGCAGGUAGAACAAACAGCACACUAAGCUAAAUGCUUGUCACUUUUGAAUUUCAUUUAAGGUGCCAUUAUGAAACCGGCAAGGCUGUUAUUUUAAUGCAAAUGUUAGAGAUGAGAACACAUUCAAGACCUGCUUGCUCAGUGCACGUUAGUUAAAUUAGUUGACUUUCCUUGAGGAUCCUGUAGUUCUGAGGGCAGUCUCAGCUGUACGCAGCUCUGAUGUUACAGCUCUUCUCAGAGAGAUGGACCAGUCUGCUCAGACUUGACCAUUCUGUGAAUGUCUUUUUUAUAAAGUGUACAGUUGCUUUCUAGUUUAUGCCAGGGACUUGAAUUUUUGCUGUGGGAAUGUGAAAAACACGGGAAGCUGCUCUCUGCCAAGUUAUUUCCCCAAGGAUCUGCUUUACAUACUGACAAUCAAUGACCUGUCAGGUGUAGUUAUGCACCAUAGCAAUGAUAUGAGGUCAAUCAGAUGAAACCAAGAUAUUUUGAAGUCAUCUGUUGAUUUUCUUUGCUGCAAGACCAGCAUGUGAAUCAUGUCAACAAUUGUACUCCAUGUUUCAAAAACAUGUAAAAACAUUACAGUUCUUCAAACAGAAGAAGAGAUCUGGAUCCCCAGUGGAGUGCUGGAAAAAGAACACAAAGCAAGGAAGUACCAGAUCCAGUUGCCUUUCUCCUUCCUGCCACUCCAGAGCCUUGCUGUAGGAGCAGAUUGGGCUGCUCCAAACCAGCUGGCAGAGAAAAGCAUCCAUUUGACAGGCGGGCAGAGCGGCAAAGGGGAGGUGGAGGCUGGAGGGGACCGCGCUCUCCAGGGGAGAUGCAGGUUUUUGGCAAGCUGCAGCCUGCCCUCAGAGUGCACCUGCCCACAGUGAGGGGCUGAGGGCUUCGCUGCCAGGGGACAGCCUGCAGCAGGGCAGAAAGAGCUGCGGGCCACGUCCUCAGCUGCUGCCUGCUCCAGUGGGACAGUGAAAGAUGGUCCUGCUUUCAUCAGCUCAAUGAAACCACCAAAGCUGUCAUGUGUUUCAACUGAAUAGCCACAACACUGUGGUGCUGUGCAGUACUUUCCCUUUCCUCUCUCCCUACCCCAGAUGUCACGUGCCCUCACUGCCUCACCUAGAAUGUGGUUGGAGACUCCUGGCAUAGGCUGACUUUGAUCUACUGAUGGGAAACAUCUACUGAUGAGAACCACUUUCCACCAGGACAAAGCUACUGUAUCCAAGGGCAUUGCUUAUCUGCUCAUGCCAGUGUUUCUGACAGAAGACAUGGCUGAUCAGUAAACGGGUGCUUUUGGAAGGGAUUUCCUCUUUUGGGCUCUCUGAAUGAUUUUCAGGCAACAUCAGGCUAAGAACACCUCUGCUCUCUGACACAAUUUUACUUGGUCAUUUUUGGGGCACUUGAUUGAUCUUAAGAUAUUAAUUUUUGUAAAUAAUAAGGCUAAAGUGGACAAAGCAUGGUACUGGUUCCUUUUCUAGUUCUUAUGACUGCUCUUGCUUUCAGCUUUGUAGAGGAAAUCUAAUGCUUCAGACUGGGCUAUUCUGUUGAAGUUCUAAAAACUGCAUUCUCCCACCGUCAACAAGCAUAAGCUUGGGACCUGCUCUUGGGUGCCAUUCUCAAGGCUGCAAAUUUGCCCUGGGCACAGCAGUGAGGAAAUCUCAGCUUGCAGUAUGUGCAUCUCCCCUCAUCAAACUGAAAGCCAAGACAGUUCACUAGACAUUAAAAAAUCUGGAUUUUCUGAACUCUUGCAAGAUAUUGAAACUUGAGGCAUGGAGUGACUAAUAAAACUGGAUC